GAAAUGCGAUAAGUAGUGUGAAUUGCAGAAUUCAGUGAAUCAUCGAAUCUUUGAACGCACAUUGCGCCCUUUGGUAUUCCUUAGGGCAUGCCUGUUCGAGCGUCAUUUACACCUUCAAGCUCUGCUUGGUGUUGGGCGUCUGUCCCUGCCCCCUCGGGGGCGUGGACUCGCCUCAAAUCUAUUGGCGGCCGGUACCGUGGCUUCGAGCGCAGCAAAUUAGCGACCUCAUCGCCUGAGCGUACUGGCUCCCAGAAGCCCAUUUUCUUGUUUUGACCUCGGAUCAGGUAGGGAUACCCGCUGAACUUAA
rnacentral:misc_RNA from 1 species